rnacentral:lncRNA from 1 species
GAGAAGCUCAAGUUCACCAUGAGCCACAGCAGUAAGCCAUGCUUUAGCCUCUGACCUGUGCUCCAAUUUUGGUACAAUGAUUUCUGCCAUGUUCUCCAACAGGGUGAGGAAACAGACAGCACUAAGAGAAAAAGCUGGAACUCAAAACCAAAUUAACUCCAAACUUAAGUUUUCCCACUUCGACAAGGAUGUAUGUCAUAAAAGUUGGAUGCCUUCCUUUCAAGACAUUUGAAUGGAUCACCAAAUAAUUACCUACUUUUCUCUCACAACUCAGAUAAAUAAUUAAAAGGAGAUAUACACAGA